CAAUAUAUUAAAUUGAGUUUAUCGGACGACAUAUUUACUUAUUAAUUAGCAUUUGUCUUGUUCCAAUAAUUCGAAGAUAACAUAUACUUUUGGAAUAGAUUGAGAAAAAAUAUAAAAUAUGAAUAGAGACACACCUCUCUAGUCCCUAAAUUAUUAACCUAAAACAGUUUUGUGAAUUGGUUCAAAAAAAAAAAAAUAACAGUUUUGUGAAUAGGAAAACUCGUGUGUAAUUAACCUAAUCCUUCUUCGUUUUACAUUUCAACAACUUUAACUAACAUUUCCACGUUCUAAUUUAAUAUAUAUAUAUAUAUAUAUAUAUACAUGGUGCCACUUUUUAAGAGAUAUAUUAUGUUAUUAUACC
rnacentral:lncRNA from 1 species